UACGUAGGGUGCAAGCGUUAAUCGGAAUUACUGGGCGUAAAGCGUGCGCAGGCGGCUUUGCAAGACAGAUGUGAAAUCCCCGGGCUUAACCUGGGAACUGCAUUUGUGACUGCAUGGCUAGAGUGCGGCAGAGGGGGAUGGAAUUCCGCGUGUAGCAGUGAAAUGCGUAGAUAUGCGGAGGAACACCGAUGGCGAAGGCAAUCCCCUGGGCCUGCACUGACGCUCAUGCACGAAAGCGUGGUGAGCAAACAGG
rnacentral:rRNA from 1 species